rnacentral:rRNA from 1 species
GACGAACGCUGGCGGCGUGCUUAACACAUGCAAGUCGAACGCUGAAGCUCAGCUUUUGUUGGGUGGAUGAGUGGCGAACGGGUGAGUAACACGUGAGUAACCUGCCUCCUUCUUUGGGAUAACGCCCGGAAACGGGUGCUAAUACUGGAUAUUCACUGGUCUUCGCAUGGGGGUUGGUGGAAAGGGUUUUUCUGGUGGGGGAUGGGCUCGCGGCCUAUCAGCUUGUUGGUGGGGUGAUGGCCUACCAAGGCUUUGACGGGUAGCCGGCCUGAGAGGGUGACCGGUCACAUUGGGACUGAGAUACGGCCCAGACUCCUACGGGAGGCAGCAGUGGGGAAUAGUGCACAAUGGGCGCAAGCCUGAUGCAGCGACGCCGCGUGAGGGAUGGAGGCCUUCGGGUUGUGAACCUCUUUCGCUCAUGGUCAAGCCGCAACAAUGGUUGUGGUGAGGGUAGUGGGUAAAGAAGCGCCGGCUAACUACGUG